GAUGGUAGUGUAUUGGACUACCAUGGCGAUCACGGGUAACGGGGAAUUAGGGUUCGAUUCCGGAGAGGGAGCCUGAGAAAUGGCUACCACACCUAAGGAAGGCAGCAGGCGCGUAAAUUACCCAAUCCUAAUUCAGGGAGGUAGUGACAAGAAAUAACAACUCGGGCCUCACACGAGGUUACGAGAUUGCAAUGAGAACAAUUUAAACCUCUUAUCGAGUAACAAUUGGAGGGCAAGUCUGGUGCCAGCAGCCGCGGUAAUA
rnacentral:rRNA from 1 species